rnacentral:tRNA from 1 species
GCGGGGAUAGCUCAGUUGGGAGAGCGUCAGACUGAAGCUCCACUUCAUUCAUGAGAUCUGAAGGUCGUGUGUUCGAUCCACACUCACCGCA